rnacentral:rRNA from 1 species
CAGUAGCCGCGGUAAUACAGAGGGUGCGAGCGUUAAUCGGAUUUACUGGGCGUAAAGCGUGCGUAGGCGGCUUCUUAAGUCGGAUGUGAAAUCCCUGAGCUUAACUUAGGAAUUGCAUUCGAUACUGGGAAGCUAGAGUAUGGGAGAGGAUGGUAGAAUUCCAGGUGUAGCGGUGAAAUGCGUAGAGAUCUGGAGGAAUACCGAUGGAGAAGGCAGCCAUCUGGCCUAAUACUGACGCUGAGGUACGAAAGCAUGGGGAGCAAACAGGAUUAGAUACCCCCGUAGUCCCUGUCUCUUAUAC